rnacentral:rRNA from 1 species
CCUACGGGUGGCAGCAGUGAGGAAUAUUGGUCAAUGGACGAGAGUCUGAACCAGCCAAGUAGCGUGAAGGAUGACUGCCCUAUGGGUUGUAAACUUCUUUUAUAUAGGAAUAAAAUGUUCCACGUGUGGGAUUUUGUAUGUACCAUAUGAAUAAGGAUCGGCUAACUCCGUGCCAGCAGCCGCGGUAAUACGGAGGAUCCGAGCGUGAUCCGGAUUUAUUGGGUUUAAAGGGAGCGUAGGUGGAUUGUUAAGUCAGUUGUGAAAGUUUGCGGCUAAACCGUAAAAUUGCAGUUGAAACUGGCAGUCUUGAGUACAGUAGAGGUGGGCGGAAUUCGUGGUGUAGCGGUGAAAUGCUUAGAUAUCACGAAGAACUCCGAUUGCGAAGGCAGUUCACUGGACUGCAACUGACACUGAGGCUCGAAAGUGUGGGUAUCAAACAGGAUUAGAUACCCUUGUAGUC